CCUCAUCUGGCCAACCAUCUUCAGCUGCCAAUGGACAAGUGUCUUCCUGGUACUGCACAUGAAGAUGUCCCGCUCUCCCCUGCUCAAGGAGAGAGUGCCUGACCUGAGCUGGGCCCAUCAGAUCCAGUACUUACCUGGAAUAGGAAAAAGAUGGGGAGAGUGACCAAAGACUACAAAAAUCUCUGAAGCUUAUCUACUUGAGAGAGAGUCCCUGAAGAUACUGGCCUCUCAUUCCUGCUAUGUAUAUCCAAUGUGACUGAACUCUGAAUAAAAUAUACAAGUUAUAACAAUGUAGCAAUUGACCCAGCAAACGAGGACACAAACGUGUUGAAGGGUGUCUACGGAGAAAUAGACAAGCGAUGCACGACAGAUACAUGUGUCAGUCUGGUCCCUGCAGUUGUAUUUGUAAUAAUACACAUUGGAGCAAUUUCAUGGCCAUCGGUUAGAGAAUGUUUGAGGAAUGAUCCUUUCAUAUCAAGAAGGACAUUUCAAAGAUCAAAACCUGAUGGAAAUGCUGGAGACCAUGGCGCUGAUAGGAGCUCAUGCGUGUUGUCCAAUUACUACGUGACAGGCAUUGGCUCCAUGCUUUUCCUGCACUGCUCAUUUAAACACUGGACAACCUAAGUGUUCUGAUUUAGCCCAUUGGACAGAUAGAAAUGGAGGCACAGAAGAUUAAUGUGUUUAACUUCAAACCCUGGCAGAUUAGGUUUUUCAUCCAGAGCCUGUG
rnacentral:lncRNA from 1 species